CGAAGGGGGCUAGCGUUGUUCGGAAUUACUGGGCGUAAAGGGCGCGUAGGCGGCCGUGCAAGUCAGAUGUGAAAGCCCUGGGCUCAACCCAGGAUGUGCAUUCGAUACUGCAUGGCUAGAGUGUCGGAGAGGAUGGUGGAAUUCCCAGUGUAGAGGUGAAAUUCGUAGAUAUUGGGAAGAACACCGGUGGCGAAGGCGACCAUCUGGACGACAACUGACGCUGAGGCGCGAAAGCGUGGGGAGCAAACAGGAUUAGAUACCCUGGUAGUCCACGCCGUAAACUAUGCGUGUUGGACGUUGGCGAGCCUAGCUCGUCGGUGUCGCAGCUAACGCGUUAAACACGCCGCCUGGGGAGUACGGCCGCAAAGUUA
rnacentral:rRNA from 1 species